rnacentral:rRNA from 1 species
AAAAACAUCGCCUCCUGAAAAAAUAGGAGGUCCAGCCUGCCCAGUGACCAAGUUAAACGGCCGCGGUACCCUAACCGUGCGAAGGUAGCGCAAUCACUUGUUCUUUAAAUGAGGACUAGUAUGAACGGCAUCACGAGGGUCUCACUGUCUCCCCCCUCUAAUCAGUGAAACUGAUCUCCCCGUGAAGAAGCGGGGAUAAAUAUAUAAGACGAGAAGACCCCAUGGAGCUUUAAACUCAAUUUCAACUACCAUAAAUAAAUCAUAAAAAAUAGGUAGCCAUGACUAUUAGUUUUCGGUUGGGGUGACCACGGAGCAAAACACAACCUCCACGACGAAUGACUCUCUACCUCUAAUCAUAGAGUGACGACUCAAAGAAUCAACAAAUUGACCCAUUUGACCCAAAUUUUUGAUCAACGAACCAAGUUACCCUGGGGAUAACAGCGCAAUCCAUUUCAAGAGCCCCUAUCGACAAAUGGGUUUACGACCUCGAUGUUGGAUCAGGGUAUCCUAGUGGUGCAGCCGCUACUAAAGGUUCGUUUGUUCAACGAUUAAAACCCUACGUGAUCUGAG